AGCUAAGAACAAAAUCGGGCUGCCUGAGCUAGCAGUAGCAACCGGUUGGGGUGCCCUUCUGCAUUGUGAAGGCUUUGUUCUUUGGCUCUUUGCGAUAAAUCUUGCUGCUGCUCACUUUUUGGGUCCACGCUGCCUUUAUGAGCUGUAACACUCUCUGUGAAGGUCUGUAGCUUCACUCCUGAAGCCAGAGAGACCACGGGAAGGAACGAACAACUCCAGACGCCCCGCCUUAAAAGCUGUAACACUCACCGCGAAGGUCUGCAGCUUCACUCCUGAGCCAGUGAGACCACGAACCUACCAGAAGGAAGAAACUCCAAACACAUCUGAACAUCAGAAGGAACAAACUCCGGACACGCCGCCUUUAAGAACUCUAACACUCACCGCUAGGAUCCGCGGCUUCAUUCUUGAAGUCAGAUGAAGAGAUUGAAAAGUUAAGGAACAUGCACCAGGCAAGCAGCAAAGACUGCCCUUUUCCAUGAUUUUAUCCACUUCUUCCACUCCGCCUGAAACCUGUCUGCCUGAGCCCUGCCGAGACCCAGGCCCAGUUUUCUGUCUCGGAUUACUUCAGAGUUUGGCUUGGGCCUUUUCUUCAGGAAUCAUGCUGUGACUCG